AAUGAAUAGAGGCAAAAGCGUGGAUGUUAUGUUAUCGUGCAUGUGUGCUUGUGAUUUAGCGGAAACAGCAGGCGCAAAACUAACAAAUCCACCCCCUUUUCUCUCUUUUCCUGUUCGACCAAACAGUGCUCAAGCCUUGGUUUAGGAGGGUUUUAUCCUGGAAUCUAAAACCCGAAUACCUGAACCCAAGGAAAACCUGAAGCAAGCCAUGGAGGAGGCAGGUGCUCAGCCCGUCUGCGCGCAAGAAGCGCUGGCUUUACUGAAUUGCGUUACCCAGUCUUCUUUUGAUCAAGAAAAAUGCAUCCGUCUCUUGCAUUCUCUCCGACAGUGCGUCCUCGAUAAGAAAGUAAAGAAAUUUUCACUAGAUAAUCAAGACCAGCAGGACACAGAUUCAGUUAGCAAGAAGAAUUGAUGAAAUCUUGUGUUGGAAGAAUAUAUCACCAGAUGGCCUUACAUUUUUUUUAUCUUGUAUUGUUGAGAAACAUAAUUGUUUCUUCAAUCAGUUGUUGAGAAACCAGAUGCUCAGUCAAAAAUGCUUCCAUUGUGAACUGAAAUUCAUACUCAAUAUUGAACUUGACAUGGUAUCCACUUAUCUGCUGUUGGCUGAGAACUUCUUUAGAAAGGUUAGAUGGUGGCGCCACUGGUGUGUGUCUUUGUGAUGUUUGCUUGCUCAGGCUCAAAGCCUGUUUCAUUUUACCAGAUGCAAUUGCGAUCGAGCCUGCAAAAGUAAAUAUUUCCUAAUUUGGAGUCUAAACAUCAAAUAAGUCGUGUUGUUUUAUGAACAUAUUGUUAAUGGUGAUCUGGGUUGGAGUUCCCUUGGCCUGGAUCAUUCUACCUGAUAUUAGAACCUCUUAAGAUCAUGAAUCGCAGAAGAAUGGAUUCUUCUUUUCGAUAUGGUGCAAUGCAAGGAAAAUAUAUACACAAGUUUGAACAUGAUGAUUUAACUUGGUUAUUACCGCUCUUUGGAAAUUGUUUUUCUGCUGUCCAUGGAGAACCAUUUCUGUUGGAAGAUAUAUUCCUUUUUUUGUUUAUAUAUUCUUUUUAUUUCCCUGGAGUUUGGCUUGUUGGUCUGCUUGGAGGAUUUAAAUAGUUUGUUUGGCUAAUACAUAAAUUUGUAUGAUGUAAUACUAAAAUAUUCUUGAAUGGUCAGGGAGAACAUUCUGGAGCUGAGAACUGUAGAAAUUCCAGCCAUGGGUUGCUUUAUGAACAUCUUUAGUAAUCAGUUGGUCCUUGUACCACACCCUGUUGGUCGAAAUCUACAACUACCAAAUUCUUCUAAUCUUCACCCAAACUGUUCAUAACUUUUCUCAGUUGUUUAAUUCUGCAAGCUGGAUUGCUUAGAAUUCGGAUGGCGCAAAGCAUUCAGGACCUGCAAUUGCUAGUAGGCCAGGGCUUGGUAGAUGCCAUUUGUUUUAGUAACAUAAUUAGCCAUAGAAACCUAUAAACUCAGUACAGUAGUUUUCCAGAAUUACUUGAGUCAAUUACAUAAGAUGGAGCGGUUGCAUGCUGAACAAAUGAGUAUCCUAGCAAUGAGACAAUGGAGGGAAUGCUAGAAAACUGGGGCAGAAAAGAGACUGAAAAUCUGAAUACCACCAAACGUGAAAAUGACAUUAUCAACAUCCACAAAAGCCCAAGUGAUUAAUCGAAAUCUCUAAUUACAAACAUUUAGAACCAUGGUUACACAUCAUCCAUCCCCCAACAAAAUGCCAAAUGUAACAAUUCCCAUCUCUGUCUCCUUUUUCUCACUCUUUAGUCUUAACUUAAACCCAAAAAAGAGAAAAAAAAAAAAAA
rnacentral:sRNA from 1 species